CUGAUAUAGAAAUAUUUAAGGGCCGCAGUAUUUUGACUGUGCAAAGGUAGCAUAAUCAUUAGGUUUUUAAUUGGAAUCUUGUAUGAAUGAUUGGACAAGGGAAAUACUGUCUUUGUAUUAAAAUUUGAAUUUAACUUUUAAGUGAAAAGGCUUAAAUGUACUAAGGGGACGAUAAGACCCUAUAAAACUUUACAUUGAUGCUAAAUUUUAUAGAAUUUGAAUUAUAAUAAUUAAAUUUAAUUUUUUGUUAUGUUGGGGAGACAAAAGCUAUAAUUAAUAUAUAACUGCUUUAAAAGAAAACAAUAAUAGGUGGAAUAAGAUUAUAGAUCCUUUAUAAAGAUUAUUAGAUUAAGUUACUUUAGGGAUAACAGCGUUAUUUUUUUUGAGAGUUCAUAUCGAAAAAAAAGAUUGCGACCUCGAUGUUGAAUUAAAAUAUCUUUAUAAUGCAGGUGUUAUAGAAGAAGGUCUGUUCGCCUUUAAUUUUUUACAUGAUCUGAGUUCAAACCGGC
rnacentral:rRNA from 1 species